rnacentral:tRNA from 1 species
UGGGAUAUAGUUUAACGGCUAGAAUGUGUGGUUCAUACCCGCAAGAUAUUGGUUCGAGUCCAUUUAUCCCAACCA